AUUGAACGCUGGCGGCAGGCCUAACACAUGCAAGUCGAACGGUAACAGGAAGAAGCUUGCUUCUUUGCUGACGAGUGGCGGACGGGUGAGUAAUGUCUGGGAAACUGCCUGAUGGUGGGGGAUAACUACUGGAAACGGUAGUUAAUACCGCAUAAUGUCGCAAGACCAAAGAGGGGGACCUUCGGGCCUCUUGCCAUCGGAUGUGCCCAGAUGGGAUUAGCUAGUAGGUGGGGUAACGGCUCACCUAGGCGACGAUCCCUAGCUGGUCUGAGAGGAUGACCAGCCACACUGGAACUGAGACACGGUCCAGACUCCUACGGGAGGCAGCAGUGGGGAAUAUUGCACAAUGGGCGCAAGCCUGAUGCAGCUAUGCCGCGUGUAUGAAGAAGGCCUUCGGGUUGUAAAGUACUUUCAGCGGGGAGGAAGGGAGUAAAGUUAAUACCUUGGCUCAUUGACGUUACCCGCAGAAGAAGCACCGGCUAACUCCGUG
rnacentral:rRNA from 1 species